rnacentral:rRNA from 1 species
UACGGAGGGGGCUAGCGUUGUUCGGAAUUACUGGGCGUAAAGCGCACGUAGGCGGACUGUUAAGUCGGGGGUGAAAUCCUGGGGCUCAACCUCAGAAUUGCCUCCGAUACUGGCAGUCUCGAGUGCGGGAGAGGUGAGUGGAAUUCCGUGGUGAUAGCGGUGAAAUGCGCAGAUAUCGGGAGGAACACCAGUAGCGAAGGCGGCUCGCUGGGCCAUUCCUGACGCGUGAGA